rnacentral:piRNA from 1 species
UCCAAAUCCUGAAGCAAAAUGAGCCUUCUU